rnacentral:lncRNA from 1 species
UAAAGGAAAAUUAAUGAAAAGGGCUUGAAAACUUUGAGUUUUAAUGAUAAGGACAAAAUAAAGGGUAAAGUGAAUAGUACCAUGAUUGAUUUUUUAGUGUAAAAAUGUGGUUUUUCGUUAAAGUGAACAGUACCGGGUGCUUUUCGUUAAAGUUCUCUAAAAUUAAAUAUCAAAAUACAAAAAACAACUUACAAUAUAUAUCGUCAUCGGGGUUUAUCUUGAUUUCUGUGGGGAAAAUGGGGGGUUAACUGUAAUAUCUCAGAUUAAUUAUGAAUUGUCUAUGAAUCUAAUUACCAAUCGUGGAAUUCAUAAAAUUUAUCCAGAGAGAGAGAGAGAGAAAUCCCAGCAUCUUCUAUGAAAUCCAUAAAAAUUAUACCAGCAUAACAAGGAUAUUAGCAGAAACACAAUGACUCUGUACUAAUUAAAAAAUAAAAAACAUAGUUCAUAUGCAAAUCUAUGGUGACCUAGGAUAAACAUGGUUGCUGAUGACCUUCUUGGUAUCUGAGUCUGAACCAGAGCAAAACCAUUUGACAAUUUGAUCAAGCAUCAUUCUUUUCACUAACCUCUUCUUCACAGGGAAAACACUUCCAGCUUUUGGCUUGAAAAUCCAUGGCUCAGCCUUGUUGUGGAGUUCCACCAUUUGUUCUUGUUGAGAUGGGUUCUUCAACUUCAACUUCAUCAUCUGCUCUUCCUCCACUGCUUCCGAAGCCUUCUUCUUCAUUGCCAUCUAUAACUUUCUCUUUCUUUUUUUUUUUUUAAAUGUGUGCUUGGAUGUGCUAUAUAUGAAGUUAUGAACUUCUGAACCUCCAUGAGAUGAGUUUAUAUAGAUGAGAAAACGCAGAAGCAGCCAAGAAUGGUUUUAAUGCCCGAGUAAUGAUAGGAAGACUAAAUUUAGAGACUAAAAUUACAAACUAAAUGAUGUGUUAUCAAUAGAAAUAAGCAUGUCUAUCAACGUUUAAGUAAUAAAUCAAUUAUUAACUUACAUAGUUUUUAGUUUUCAAAUUUUAGUCUCCAAAUUUAAUCUUUCUAGCAUUAUUUCUUAAUGCCCACGGCAGAUGGUGGCAGAAUAUUUUCAUGGACCAUUUGAGUCUGUGACCGUAGACUCAUGGCUAAGUACUGAUAAUUGACCUUGAUCGCUUCAAUUGUCCGAUCGACUUUUUUGUCUGUCAGGAUUGAGAAUAUUUGGUUAUAAAUGUUGGGAUUUGCCUGAAGUUCAGCCUUGUACUGGUGUUGUGGCGUGGAAGUCUUCAAAGUGAAGACGUGAUUCGACAUGAUUUGUCUGCCACUAGCAAAAUUGAAAGCAGGUCUUCACUUGGUCAUUUUUCAUGCAAUUGUGCUUUUUCUUCCAUGCAUUAAAUGGCAAAUGGAGAAAAUGAUUGCAAGCUAUAGGCUGCGUGGAGCAACGGAUUUAAAUA